rnacentral:rRNA from 1 species
CCUACGGGAGGCAGCAGUGGGGAAUAUUGGGCAAUGGGCGCAAGCCUGACCCAGCAACGCCGCGUGAAGGAAGACGGCUCUCGGGUUGUAAACUUCUUUUAAGAGGGAAGUGCAGAAGACGAUACCUCUUGAAUAAGCCACGGCUAACUACGUGCCAGCAGCCGCGGUAAUACGUAGGUGGCAAGCGUUGUCCGGAUUUACUGGGUGUAAAGGGCGUGCAGCGGGGAAGACAAGUCAGAUGUGAAAUCCCGCGGCUCAACCGGGGAACUGCAUUUGAAACUGUUUUUCUUGAGUACCGGAGAGGUCAUCGGGAGUCCUUGUGGAGCGGUGAAAUGCGU